ACACCUUGUGUCUAGAGCCUCAUUGUGUCAUCCUUUCUCCCCGCAGGUGUUAAAUAUUUUUUUGGCAUGGACUUCAGGUGGGAAACAUCAACUAACUUCGCUGUCAAAAACUAUUUGUUUAAAAAUCAGGAAAAGAAAGUCACAGAAAAUUUCUUGAGGUUCCUAGCAUUAACUCUGAAGUUCAUGACACCACUUGGAGCUGAAGGGAGAAGUUGGAGUGACACUGACAUCGAAAUGAAAUGAAUUGAAAUUGUCAGACAAUAAAGCAGGAAGUGGUGAUCAGCAGUAAAGGUCCUAUCAUCUAUACAACACCUUGCUAAUUGCCAGAAGAAUGGAGAUCUGCUUAAUGGUAUGUAUAUGUAUGUGUAUGAAUGCAUGCAGAUAUAUGUGUAUGAUAUACAAAUACU
rnacentral:lncRNA from 1 species